CUUGGCUGGCUGUAGCAGCAGCAGAGGAGCCUGCAAACUGUUGGUGGUUCUUGGGAGAUGGUUUGAAAACUGCUGACCCUGCAGCCCACGCGGGAAUCCUGUUGUAGGGUAGAGGAAUGCGCUUUUCUGUUACAUCUCAUGGCCGUUUUCUUCACUGUCACUGAACUAUUUAUCUGCUCUUUUAAGGAAACUCACCUCAGUUCCAAUCUGCCAGUAUGGCUGGAAUUGCAGUUCCAAUUGUUAUUGUCAUCGUCGUCGUUGUCGUCAUUGCUCUGUGCUACGUGCACCGGCAAAAACACAAAAAAGCCUUGCAGAAGUACACUCCAGGACCUGCUGGUGACGAAGCCCCCGGCAUGAGGCACUGAGCAAAACCAGCCCAAGAAGAAGGCCCUUAUCCCAGUCAAGCCAAGGAUCCUGAGCUCCUGCACAACACAGAAUCUCACCCAGCGACUGCUGAGCUGAGCCUCGAGUAAAGCACAGUCAUUGCCCAACUGCAAAAUUAACUUUGUAAAUAAC
rnacentral:lncRNA from 1 species